rnacentral:rRNA from 1 species
CCCUUAGAUGUUCUGGGCCGCACGCGCGCUACACUGACGAUGUCAGAGAGUGUCUCCUUCACCGAGAGGUGUGGGUAAUCUUUUAAACAUCGUCGUGCUGGGGAUAGAUCAUUGCAAUUUUUGAUCUUAAACGAGGAAUUCCUAGUAAGCGCGAGUCAUCAGCUCGCGCUGAUUACGUCCCUGCCCUUUGUACACACCGCCCGUCGCUCCUACCGAUUGAAUGCUCAGGUGAGCCAUUCGGACUUUCAUCAUGCUGGUUUCCAGUUUUGAUGAAGGAAAGUCUUGCGAACCUUAUCAUUUAGAGGAAGGAGAAGUCGUAACA